rnacentral:piRNA from 1 species
UUCAGCUUUGGGUGCUGACGGUGGGG